UAAGGAAUAUUGGACAAUGGUCGCAAGACUGAUCCAGCCAUGCCGCGUGCAGGAAGACGGCCCUAUGGGUUGUAAACUGCUUUUGUACCAGAGAAAACCUAUCUACGUGUAGAUAGCUGAUAGUAUGGUAAGAAUAAGCAUCGGCUAACUUCGUGCCAGCAGCCGCGGUAAGACGAAGGAUGCACGCGUUAUCCGGAUUCAUUGGGUUUAAAGGGUGCGUAGGCGGGCUUGUAAGUCAGUGGUGAAAUCUCUCAGCUUAACUGAGAAACUGCCAUUGNUACUGCAGGCCUAGAGUAUAGAUGACGGUGGCGGAAUAUGACAUGUAGUGGUAAAAUACUUAGAUAUGUCAUAGAACACCGAUUGCGAAGGCAGCUAACGAAACUAUAACUGACGCUGAGGCACGAAAGUGCGGGGAUCAAGCA
rnacentral:rRNA from 1 species